rnacentral:rRNA from 1 species
UGUGUAGGUGGCGCGCUAAGUCGGGUGUGAAAUUUCGGAGCUUAACUCCGAAACUGCAUUCGAUACUGGCGUGCUUGAGGACUGGAGAGGAGACUGGAAUUCAUGGUGUAGCAGUGAAACGCGUAGAGAUCAUGAGGAAGACCAGUGGCGAAGGCGGGUCUCUGGACAGUUCCUGACACUGAGACACGAAGGCCAGGGGAGCAAACG